CCAGACAGGGACCGGAGAUAGGGGCCAGGGAAGAUCAUUCAUUACUCAAAUAAUUGGAGGUAGAACACGGUAAAACAGUGACAAUGCAGAAUAAAGUGUAACAGUUACAGAGAAAGUCCAGCGCAAGUAGACAAGGUGGGCGAUCACGAGGUAGCCGAUAGCGAGAGAAGGGAAAUUAAUGUCCAGGCAAGGAAAAUCUGGGAGUAUCUGGGACAAAGUGGUGGCAAGAAGAGUAAUUAAAGAUUCACAGUGACAUCCAAUCUGCACAGAGAAAAAUCUAACAAGAUAAGUUAAAGCCAAAAAAAACAUUAUGUGUAUAUACUGUAUAAUUAAAUAAAUAGUGCAAAAUGAGAGCAAAAAUAGUUUGGUAGUAAUCAUGGGGUCAUUGUCCAUUCAGAAAUCUGAUGUCGGAGGAGAAAAAGCUGUUCUUAAAACAUUAAGUGUGUGUCUUCAGGUACACACCCUCUGAUGGUAGUAAUGAGCAGAGGGGAUGGUCUCAGUAAUGGCAAUCCUCAAAGUUCAAAAUAAAUUUAUUAUUAAAGAACUUAUAUGUCAUCAUAUACUACCCUGAGACUCGUUUUCUUGUGGGCAGGUACAGUAAAGCCAAGAAACACAGUAGAAUCAAUGAAAGACCACACCCAAUAGGAUGGACAAAACAAUCAAUGUGCAAAAGGCAACAAACUGUGCAAAUACAAAAAUAAAGAGGGAAAAAAAUAAUAAAUAAAUAAGCAAUAAAUAUCAAGAACAUGAAGUGAAGAGUCUGUGAAAAUGAAUCCAUGGUUUGUGGGAACACCAGUGUUAAGUGAAAUCUUUUCCUUCAGUUCAGGAGCCUGAUGGUCGAGGGGAAAUGACCAUUCCUGAAGCUGGUGAAGUGAAUCCUGAGGCUCCUGCACCUCCUCCUUGAUGGCAGCUGCAAGGAAAGAGCAUGGCCUAGAUGGUGUGGGUCCUUGAUGAUCUGCUUUCCUGCAACCCUGAUGUGCUAAUGCAUUCAUAGCAAGAGCCUUCCACACAGCAGAAUUGGCCAUUUCAUUGGAUAUGUUUACGACCGAAGGAUCAUCUGGGCUGGAGGACAAACAUAUCCAAGUGUUAAUGCUCUGUACAAGUUGGACCAUGAAUUCAAUUCUUAAAAUCCAUUUUCCCCUGUCACUCACAAAGUGAGUUUAUCAUUUAUACAAAUGUAUUUGCAUAUUGUUUAUGGUUAAAUGAUUAUAACUCUGUACAUAAAAUAUUCAUGGAAAUAUAUCAAUAAAACAUUGUAGAGUUUUGUAUUUUA